rnacentral:rRNA from 1 species
UACGGAGAGAGCUAGCGUUGUUCGGAAUUACUGGGCGUAAAGCGCACGUAGGCGGAUAUUUAAGUCAGGGGUGAAAUCCCAGAGCUCAACUCUGGAACUGCCUUUGAUACUGAGGAUCUUGAGUUCGGGAGAGGUGAGUGGAACUGCGAGUGUAGAGGUGAAAUUCGUAGAUAUUCGCAAGAACACCAGUGGCGAAGGCGGCUCACUGGCCCGGUACUGACGCUGAGGUGCGAAAGCGUGGGGAGCAAACAGG